UACAGAGGGUGCGAGCGUUGUCCGGAAUCACUGGGCGUAAAGGGCGCGUAGGUGGUGGCUUAAGCGUGCGGUGAAAGCUCGGGGCUCAACUCCGAGUCGGCCGUGCGAACUGGGCUCACUGGAGCGUAGUAGAGGCGGGUGGAAUUCCGGGUGUAGCGGUGGAAUGCGUAGAGAUCCGGAAGAACACCGGUGGCGAAGGGCGGCCCGCUGGGCAACUGCUGACACUGAUGCGCGACAGCGUGGGAGCAAACAGG
rnacentral:rRNA from 1 species